GUAGGUGGCAAGCGUUGUCCGGAAUUAUUGGGCGUAAAGCACGCGCAGGCGGUUCUUUAAGUCUGAUGUGAAAGCCCACGGCUCAACCGUGGAGGGUCAUUGGAAACUGGAGAACUUGAGUACAGAAGAGGAAAGCGGAAUUCCACGUGUAGCGGUGAAAUGCGUAGAGAUGUGGAGGAACACCAGUGGCGAAGGCGGCUUUCUGGUCUGUAACUGACGCUGAGGCGCGAAAGCGUGGGGAGCAAACAGGGAUUAGAUACCCUGGUAGUCCACGCCGUAAACGAUGAGUGCUAAGUGUUAGGGGGUUUCCGCCCCCUUAGUGCUGCAGCUAACGCAUUAAGCACUCCGCCUGGGGAGUACGGCCGCAAGGCUG
rnacentral:rRNA from 1 species